rnacentral:rRNA from 1 species
AGACAGACUGUUACUUUGAAAAAAUUAGAGUGUUUAAAGCAAGCUAACGCUUGAAUACAUUAGCAUGGAAUAAUGAAUAGGACGUUCGAUCUUAUUUUGUUGGUUUCUAAGAUUGACGUAAUGAUUAAUAGGGAUAGUUGGGGGCAUUAGUAUUCAAUUGUCAGAGGUGAAAUUCUUGGAUUUAUUGAAGACUAACUACUGCGAAAAGCAUUUGCCAAGGAUGUUUUCAUUAAUCAAGAACGAAAGUUAGGGGAUCGAAGACGAUCAGAUACCGUCGUAGUCUUAACCAUAAACUAUGCCGACUAGGGAUCGGAUGAUGUUAAUUUUUUAAUGACUCAUUCGGCGCCUUACG